GAUGAACGCUGACAGAAUGCUUAACACAUGCAAGUCUACUUGAUCCUUCGGGUGAUGGUGGCGGACGGGUGAGUAACGCGUAAAGAACUUGCCCUGCAGUCUGGGACAACAUUUGGAAACGAAUGCUAAUACCGGAUAUUAUGUGAGUUUCGCAUGAAAUUCAUAUGAAAGCUAUAUGCGCUGCAGGAGGAGUCUUUGCCGUCCUAUUAGCUUAGUUGGUGAGGUAACGGCUCACCAAGGCGAUGAUAGGUAGCCGGCCUGAGGAGGGU
rnacentral:rRNA from 1 species